rnacentral:rRNA from 1 species
AUUGAACGCUGGCGGAAUGCUUUACACAUGCAGGUCGAACGGCAGCACGGACUUCGGUCUGGUGGCGAGUGGCGAACGGGUGAGUAAUACAUCGGAACGUGCCCAGUCGUGGGGGAUAACGUAGCGAAAGCUACGCUAAUACCGCAUACGAUCUAAGGAUGAAAGCGGGGGAUCGCAAGACCUCGCGCGAUUGGAGCGGCCGAUGGCAGAUUAGGUAGUUGGUAGGGUAAAGGCCUACCAAGCCGACGAUCUGUAGCUGGUCUGAGAGGAUGAUCAGCCACACUGGGACUGAGACACGGCCCAGACUCCGACGGGAGGCAGCAUUGGGGAAUUUUGGGCAAUGGGCGCAAGCCUGAUCCAGCCAUUCCGCGUGCAGGAUGAAGGCCUUCGGGUUGUAAACUGCUUUUGUACAGAACGAAAAGGCUCUGGUUAAUACCCGGGGCUCAUGACGGUACUGUAAGAAUAAGCACCGGCUAACUACGUGCCAGCCGCCGCAGUAA